CCUAACACAUGCAAGUCGAGCGGAGAAUGCAGAUAUGUUACAUGGAAGUAUUCUAGCGGCGGACGGGUGAGUAACACGUGGGUAACCUGCCUCAAAGAGGGGAUAGCCUUCGAAAGGAAGAUAAUACCGCAUAAGCCUGCAGUACCGCAUGGUACAGCAAGGAAAAGGAGCAAUCCGCUUUGAGAUGGACCCGCGGCGCAUUAGCUAGUUGGUGAGGUAACGGCUCACCAAGGCGACGAUGCGUAGCCGACCUGAGAGGGUGAUCGGCCACAUUGGAACUGAGACACGGUCCAGACUCCUACGGGAGGCAGCAGGUGGGGAAUAUUGCACAAUGGGCGAAAGCCUGAUGCAGCAACGCCGCGUGAAUGAUGAAGGCCUUCGGGUCGUAAAGUUCUUUGAUCGAGGGAUGAUAAUGACAGUACCUAGAAAAACAAGCCACGGCUAACUACGUGCCAGCCGCGGC
rnacentral:rRNA from 1 species